rnacentral:misc_RNA from 1 species
GGGUGGUCCAUGUCCUCUAGACUGAAAAUUUUAAUUCUCAAUUAGACCAUUUCAUGAAGAAAAAGCAGCUAAUUUUGAUAAAGAGCAUUUAUCAAUAACCAAGUAAUUAACAUUAUAUUUAUUGCCCAAUUUAAUUUUUUAAGAUUAUAGAUUUGACCCCACCUCUUUCAUCAAAAUUUUAAAUUAGUUUAAUCGCUAUCUAAAUUCAUAGAGGGUAUAUGAAAACCAUUGCAAAAUUUCUUAAUAUACCUAAGUGAAGUUAUAAACCCCAACUUUCUCCAAUUCCAACAAAAGCAACUAAUCUCACUGAAUGUGGAUCCACCCUGAGUGUGUGGACCCUUGCAUGUCAACUUGCAAACAUCCAUACACCAAACAACAAAAGAACCUGCAAUGUCUUCAAUCACUCAAGGGGAUACUUAUAUGAAACAAACAUAAAUCAAAUCUCAUAAUAGAACUUUUCUUUAAAAGCCAAACUGAUAAUCUAAGGUACAGGAACAUUCACUAAUGAUAUUUUUGCAUUAUAAUUUACAACAUUUGACUCCACAUACUAUGAACCAAUCUUUUAAGAUCCCUAAUUAUAAAAAUGUCAAUUUUUUAAGCCCAAGGAGUUAGUUGAAUAAGAAAAUUUUGGGAUGUUAACCUCGAUAUCCUUAGCCCAACUCCAAUGGAAUGACUGCAGUUCACUAGGCUUAGUCAGGAGCUUAGAGAGCCUAAGAUAUCUAAUUAGCCAAAGCAACAAAGAAAGGCAACAUGAUUUUAUUUUUAUUGCCCUGCUGAUUUGAUAUCUAUGGUCACCAAGAUUUACAUUAAAUUAAAACAGGUUAGUCACCACCAUGGUAUUAGGUUACUGCAAUACCACUUAAAUUGAGCAUAAAGUAGAGAUAAAGGUACCUCUAGGAUUGCAUGGAACUCAU